GACGAACGCUGGCGGCGUGCUUAACACAUGCAAGUCGAACGGAAAGGCCCUGCUUUUGUGGGGUGCUCGAGUGGCGAACGGGUGAGUAACACGUGAGUAACCUGCCCUUGACUUUGGGAUAACUUCAGGAAACUGGGGCUAAUACCGGAUAGGAGCUCCUGCUGCAUGGUGGGGGUUGGAAAGUUUCGGCGGUUGGGGAUGGACUCGCGGCUUAUCAGCUUGUUGGUGGGGUAGUGGCUUACCAAGGCUUUGACGGGUAGCCGGCCUGAGAGGGUGACCGGCCACAUUGGGACUGAGAUACGGCCCAGACUCCUACGGGAGGCAGCAGUGGGGAAUAGUGCACAAUGGGCGGAAGCAUGAUGCAGCAACGCCGCGUGCGGGAUGACGGCCUUCGGGUUGUAAACCGCUUUCGCCUGUGACGAAGCGUGAGUGACGGUAAUGGGUAAAGAAGCACCGGCUAACUACGU
rnacentral:rRNA from 1 species